rnacentral:rRNA from 1 species
UACGUAGGGUGCAAGCGUUAAUCGGAAUUACUGGGCGUAAAGCGUGCGCAGGCGGUUUUGUAAGUCUGUCGUGAAAGCCCCGGGCUCAACCUGGGAAUUGCGAUGGAGACUGCAAGGCUUGAAUCUGGCAGAGGGGGGUAGAAUUCCACGUGUAGCAGGUGAAAUGCGUAGAGAUGUGGAGGAACACCGAUGGCGAAGGCAGCCCCUGGGUCAAGAUUGACGCUCAUGCACGAAAGCGUGGGAGCAAACAGG